rnacentral:rRNA from 1 species
CCUACGGGGGUCAGCAGUGGGGGAUAUUGCACAAUGGGGGGAACCCUGAUGCAGCGACGCCGCGUGGGUGAAGGAGUGCUUCGGCAUGUAAAGCCCUAUCGGCAGGGAAGAAGCAAGACGGUACCUGACUAAGAAGCCCCGGCUAACUACGUGCCAGCAGCCGCGGUAAUACGUAGGGGGCGAGCGUGAUCCGGAUUCACUGGGUGUAAAGGGAGCGUAGACGGCCAUGCAAGCCAGGGGUGAAAGCCCGGGGCCCAACCCCGGGACUGCCCUUGGAACUGGAUGGCUGGAGUGCGGGAGGGGCAGGCGGAAUUCCUGGUGUAGCGGUGAAAUGCGUAGAUAUCAGGAGGAACACCGGCGGCGAAGGCGGCCUGCUGGACCGCGACUGACGUUGAGGCUCGAAAGCGUGGGGAGCAAAUAGGAUUAGAUACCCCAGUAGUC